CCUACGGGUGGCAGCAGUCGAGAAUUAUUCACAAUGGGGGAAACCCUGGUGGUGCGACGCCGCGUGGGGGAAUGAAGGUCUUCGGAUUGUAAACCCCUGUCAUGUGGGAGCAAAUUAAAAAGAUAGUACCACAAGAGGAAGAGACGGCUAACUCUGUGCCAGCAGCCGCGGUAAUACAGAGGUCUCAAGCGUUGUUCGGAAUCACUGGGCGUAAAGCGUGCGUAGGCUGUUUCGUAAGUCGUGUGUGAAAGGCGCGGGCUCAACCCGCGGACGGCACAUGAUACUGCGAGACUAGAGUAAUGGAGGGGGAACCGGAAUUCUCGGUGUAGCAGUGAAAUGCGUAGAUAUCGAGAGGAACACUCGUGGCGAAGGCGGGUUCCUGGACAUUAACUGACGCUGAGGCACGAAGGCCAGGGGAGCGAAAGGGAUUAGAUACCCGAGUAGUC
rnacentral:rRNA from 1 species